rnacentral:rRNA from 1 species
UACGGAGGGUGCAAGCGUUAUCCGGAUUUACUGGGUUUAAAGGGUGCGUAGGCGGGCCUGUAAGUCAGUGGUGAAAUCUUCCCGCUUAACGGGAAAACUGCCAUUGAUACUAUAGGUCUUGAAUUCAGUUGAGGUGGGCGGAAUGUGUCGUGUAGCGGUGAAAUGCUUAGAUAUGACACAGAACACCGAUUGCGAAGGCAGCUCGCUAAACUGACAUUGACGCUGAGGCACGAAAGCGUGGGGAUCAAGCAGG